UGGAGGCGGAGGGAGGGCGCGAGCGGCCGGGCCGGGAGGUGCGGAAGUUCGCCGCGGCUGUUCAUUGGCAGGCCGAGCCGCUUUCAUCAUUUCUCGGAAAAGUCAAUUUCAUUUUCACUUCCCCACGGCGCGGCGGCGGGAGCAACAAGCGGCUGCUCGUGCAGUUUAAUCAGCUUCUCCCAAACUGAUCUGCCUAACAAAGAAAGACCCUUCCUGGGAGGCCAUAGUUAUGUACAGGCAAACACUUUUCUAAAAACAUAACUCCAACAUCCCUCUUUGCCACAGAAGUAUUGAGUUCUAGGGACUGGAAAAAGAAAGCAUCUGAAGACGCCUGUGUGGUUAGGAGACAGCCAGCCGAGUGCUUAGGAUUCUGUCUUCUACGUGAUCUCAGCAAUAGAUACACACAUUCCUUCUCAUCCUCUCGCCUCUAAUACCAUCUGCCAUAGCUACUCGCUUUCCUAUUUCCUAUAACAGUGACCACGACAGGCAGUUGGAGUCGUCCUAUACAAAGUCUGUAGGGCGGUUGUCACUCUUUGCCCACCUACAGACCCAAGUUAAAAACCCCAGCAUCCAUUCAAUCGGUAGCAUCCUGCUGGCUUGUUACUACUCCCAAAUCCGGACCCGGCCCUCCCCAUCUGCCCUGUAUUGCCUUCAUUCAGUGAUGAACCCACCUCCAGCUGCGCUCCCAGGUCGUGCUCCUCCGGGCUAGCAGCCACACUACUGUCCAACUAAGUAGAAAAUCAACUCCAAAUAAAGCGCGUUCCAACCCUAACUCCACCCCUCAAAAACCUCUCCCAGCCUUCAGAAUAAAAUCCGUAUUAUUUAACAAAACAUAUAAAAUCAGUAUAAUCUGGCACCAAAGUACUUUCCCAGCCCCAUCUCCUGCUCCAGGGCCCCACAAGCGCUUGGCAAACCAGCUGCCACUCCUUGUUGUGAAACAACAGAGCCAUCCUCUUGUUUGUUGUUUUACGCUGAGCAUGGUGCCCUGCACGCAGGCGCUCAAAUAAAUGCUUGUGAAUGAAUAAUUCCUUGCCCUUUUGUUUCUCAUGAAAUAUUUUAGACUCCAUCAGAGUCUUUUAUUAACAUGCGGUGACCGAUACUCAUUGUACAGAAUGCCGAAGAGUUGAAAGAAAAACAUAAGCCACCUGGAAUCUCAGCGGUCGGGAACUGAGGCGUUCUCUGGGGAAUGCACCUGAGUCCAAACUCCUUUUUAUCAGGACGCCAGUCAUUGGAUUCGGGGCCCACCCUACUCCAGGAUGAUCUCCUCUUCAAUUACAUCGGCAAGGACCUGUUUCCACAUAAGGUCGCAUUCUGAGUACUGAAGGUGAUGACUUCCACAAAUGAAUGGAGUGGCGGACACAAUUCAACACGUAACAGACAACUGGAGAUAAGAAAGAAAACACAACCAACCAUGAGUGGAAAAGCGUUCAGAUUGAAGGAGAGAAAGAAAUACGGACACCAAGCGACAGAGGUGGUUGUACGCAUUGAUAGAGUGGAACCAGCCACAUGAGAGGUACCCACAUAGAAGUUCAUCAUCGACGUGCUCAAUUGUCUCCCGUUUUUCUUUGUUUCUCUUUCCCAUCUUUGAUAAGAACGUCUCAUCUUUGCAGUGAUGCAGAACCAACAGAAUCAUGACCUCUUGUUUCCAUGUAUGCGGUUGAGGUCAUGCUUUUAUGACACCUUUGGGCAAAACUUUUUCCCUCAUUGAGAAACUGGAGAAACAUUA